AUGGUGCAAGCAAAACUCUAAAAAGAAAAUUCAUUUUCUUUGUUUUCUUUUCUUUUCUUAUUCUUUCCAAACCGAAAUCCUGGCCCUCUUCUCUCGCCACCCUCCUCCGCAGCUCCACCUUCUUCCUCUUCUUUCAACUCGAAGCCGCGGUAAAACCCCAACUGUGCCCUCUCACGUUGUCGAUGCUGCAACCGAAACCGUCUCUUCUGCAACUCCACUCAAAACCUCGCAAGGCGAUCUCUGGCGGCAUGAAAAUCACGGCCGACAGCAUGGACAGACGAACCACAUACACCGGCGGAGUUUGCUAUCAUCGAGUAGACAGUGCCGACGGCAACCCGCCGGUGCCAUCGUCAACGGUGGGCUGGAGCAGAGGAGCAGAUUGUGCGGUGGAGAUGGAGAGUUCCAACUUUCAGAUGAGAUGGGAGACAUGAAUAGGAUUAUGGUUUGGCUGUGAAGGUGGGGGUGUUGGCGGUGAAGUCCAACCAUGGAUCUCCUUGACUCAGAUAAGUCCCUUGUUUGUUCCUUUUUGGGGUCUUGAUUUUGGGUUGUUUGUGUUGUCCAUUAUGUGUCCUAGUGUGACCGUGAGUGAGGCUGUGUGUGUGGGUGAGUGCUGUGAGAUCAGUGAGUGGGUGAGAGUGCUCGGCUGUGUGUGAAUAGUGUCGUGUGUGGGACUGAUUUGGGUGCUGGUUUUGUGUUCUGGAGUGUGUGAGCAGUUCGGUGUCUUGGUGUAGCCGUGGGUGAGGCUGUGUGUGGAGGUGAGUGCUGUGAGGUUGGCUUGAUUGAAUCUGAGGCUCGGAUGAUGUAAGUGUCUUGUGCUUGAACCUGCUGAAGUUAGGGUUUCGGGAGUCUGGGGGGCGAGGUUGGAGACAGGUGAACCCGUCUCAACUCAGUGAGUUGGAUCUGAGUCUGAUUUCACGGAUUCAGUGGGCUAUGUGGUGAUUUUGGUGGGCCUUUGGUGCUCUCUUGAGUUGGGCUUUAGUUCAAAAUUCAAAAUGGGCUUUGGACCUAGGACUCAGACUGGCCUUGGGGCUUUGCAAUUGAAAUAGGGGUAGUGGAUUUUUAAGGUGGCUUGGGUGAAUUUUGAAAACAAAAGCCGGGCUGGGGUCAUUGAAAAUUGGGCUGGUUAAGCGAAAAUGGGCUCCGAGGUUUGAUUGUCAAAAAUGGGCCGGAUGGUUUUCAAAGUGAGAGUGGGCCUUAUUUUACGAUGGUGGUGGGCCUGUGCUUGUUGAAAAUGAACCUAGCCUCGUUUUAAAACAUGAGUGGGUUGGGGUUUUUUAAAAUGGGCGUUGGGCUUAUUUUUUGAAAUGGGCGUUGGGCUGGACUUUAAGGUGGGAACUGAGCUGGUUUUUAAGAUGAAAACUGAACUGGUUUUGAACAUGGGUGGGCCGAGGCUGUUUAAAAGUGAACCGGGCUUGAGCAUCAAGUGCGAACAGGGUCUAGAUCCAGGGGAUGAUUCAAAGCUGGUCCGGAUUCUGGUUCAAUUUCGGAUUCAAAGGGGUUCGGGUUUCCAAUUCAGGUGAUUUUCAGAAUGGGCUCAGGGAGUCUGGGUUGGUUGGGUGUUCAGGUACAAGGGGUAAACGGAUCAAUUUCCAAAUGGUGGGUUCCAUUUGGGUCGAAAGACCCGAACCCCGGGUUCAGGUAUGAGCAGUUCAAGUGGCUUGAGUUUAGGUUCACAUUCUAAUACGAACCUGAGAGGAUUUCCCUGCACUCAAUAUGGACACACAAAGAUCACAGAAUUCAAUUGAAACAAGGUUGAGAGCCUGGAACAUUACGUUCUUUUCUUUCCUCCUCCGGUCUUCUUCUCCCUUCCCCUAAGUCUGUAUGUGUGAAUUCUGAGCACCUGGAAUUCCCUGAGGUUCUGCUUCUGUGUCACUGGAUGCUGCAGAUUCUCCUUCCCCUGCUCUGGCUUGGUGUAGACCUCUCCUCGGCCCUUUGUCGAACAGAACCUCCUCCUCUCUUUUCAAUUCACUCUCUAUGUUGGCGGAGUUCCUUUACUCUUACUUGCCUUCUUUUCUCUCUCGAUUUCUGCAGGGUAAUUAUGUGCUCUUUCAGAGGAGGUGUCUCGCUACAGUGCUGGAACUCCCUAUUUAUAGGGAGUCCAAGGGUGCGUUUUGGCGCCAAUUUCCUCAGCAAGUCCCCACUAAUAGCCUCUGGCAGGGAAGAAUUGUCCCCGACACGUGUGACUGAUUCGGUUCUUGAUUUUGCGGAUUUCUUGGCUAACUAAUUCUCAUUCCCUGCGCAGGUAAAUUGGGGCAAUCCAGGUGGCAGCACAGGAAUGGAGGGCAUUUGGGAGGUUUCCAUAUGGCAGCACCGGGAUGGAGGGAGAGUAGGUGAGGUGAUCCAGAUGUCAACAUAGGAGAGGAGGGCUUUUUGGAUGUCUCAGCUUGGCAAGCCUGGAUUGGAGCAUGGAAGAAUUCAGCGCUCGUUUCUUCUUUUUCGUAUUUUGAUUUUUGUAAUCAUUAGUACUCAUCAUGCCCCCUGCAAUCUGUUAUCAUACUUUCCAAUUCAAAUUUCCAUUUGACAAACUUUGUACGAGGGGAUUUGAUAACUCUUGAUUUGACCAAUUAUGCCCAAAUAAAACAGAUUUUGAUUUUAA